AUUGGGUAGGCUAUGAGUCUCACAUUUUUAGUGGGUAAUUUGUGUCUUAAAUAUUUCAUGGAUGCUAUAUCAACUUGGAUAUCUGGUGCCCUGA